UCUCAUGAUGUGACCCCUCUAGAGGGAAGCACUUUCUGUUGGCUAAAAGAAAAAGAAAGCGCUUCCCUUCAGAGUGUUACGCUUUGAGA
rfam:Pongo abelii chromosome 19.